rnacentral:rRNA from 1 species
GCGAGUCUUGUAGCAAUACAAGGCGGACGGCUCAGUAACACGUAGUCAACCUAACUCGUGGACGUGGAUAACCUCGGGAAACUGAGAAUAAACCACGAUAGAUCAUAGUGCCUGGAAUGGCUUAUGGUCCAAACAGUUUACUGCCAUGGGAUGGGACUGCGGCCUAUCAGCUUGUUGGUGAGGUAAUGGCCCACCAAGGCGAUUACAGGUACGGGCUCUGAGAGGAGAAGCCCGGAGAUGGGUACUGAGACACGGACCCAGGCCCUAUGGGGCGCAGCAGGCGAGAAACCUUAGCAAUGUGCGAAAGCACGACUGGGUCAGUCCGAGUGAUUCCUGAUAAAGGAGUCUUUUGCUUGUCCUAAAAGCACAGGUGAAUAAGGGGUGGGCAAGUCUGGUGUCAGCCGCCGCGGUAAUACCAGCACCUCGAGUGGUCAGGACGUUUAUUGGGCCUAAAGCAUCCGUAGCCGGCUCUGCAAGUCUUCGGUUAAAUCCACCUGCUCAACAGAUGGGCUGCUGGAGAUACUACAGAGCUAGGGAGUGGGAGAGGCAGACGGUAUUCAGUGGGUAGGGGUAAAAUCCUCUGAUCCAUUGAGGACCACCAGUGGCGAAGGCGGUCUGCCAGAACACGUUCGACGGUGAGGGAUGAAAGCUGGGGGAGCAAACCGGAUUAGAUACCCGGGUAGUCCCAGCUGUAAACGAUGCAAACUCGGUAAUGCAUUGGCUUAUGGCCAAUGCAGU